rnacentral:lncRNA from 1 species
CAAUAUUUAAACCCCAGAUUCAUAAAAUAAAACAUGUUUUAAAAAAACUUAAAUAAUUAUAGGGCAGUAUAAUAAAGAUCUAAAUUUAAGCAUGAAUAUAAAAACAUGCAAAAACCAUAAUACUGCCCCAAAAAUAAUCUCUAUUGGCCGGGUGAAAUAGGGAUCUCAAAAUAUAAUUAACAGAGAACCCAUUGGAUCGGCCGAAAAAAUAAGAAAAUAUAAUAAAUAAACUAAGGAUUUAGAUCAAAGAAGAGUAAUGUACAAAUCCUUUCAAAGCUUCUGCAUAAUUGCAGAAGAAAAGAGAAAAGGAAUUGAGGAAUUUGGAUCUAUGCCCGCAACGGAACUCGGGAGCAAAUGUUUUGGCUGCUACACCCGGUUCUUUC